ACCCGCUGAACUUAAGCAUAUCAAUAAGCGGAGGAAAAGAAAAUAACAAUGAUUUCCCUAGUAACGGCGAGUGAAGAGGAAAGAGCUCAAAGUUGGAACCUGUUUGGCUUAGCUAAACCGGAUUGUAAACUGUAGAAACAUUUUCCAGAUACACUAGACAAAAAAGUCCUUUGGAACAGGGCAUCAUAGAGGGUGAGAAUCCCGUCUUUGGUCUAAGUAGUUGUCUAUUGUGAUAUGUUUUCAAAGAGUCAGGUUGUUUGGGAAUGCAGCCUAAAUUGGGUGGUAAAUCUCACCUAAAGCUAAAUAUUUGCGAGAGACCGAUAGCGAACAAGUACCGUGAGGGAAAGAUGAAAAGAACUUUGAAAAGAGAGUUAAACAGUAUGUGAAAUUGUUAAAAGGGAACCGUUUGGAGCCAGACUGGCUUGAUUGUAAUCAACCUAGAAUUCGUUUUGGGUGCACUUGCAGUCUAUGCCUGCCAACGACAGUUUGAUUUGGAGGAAAAAAUUAAUAGGAAUGUGGCCUCUCGAGGUGUUAUAGCCUAUUAUCAUACUCUGGAUUGGACUGAGGAACGCAGUGAAUGCCUUUAGGCAAGAUUGCUGGGCGCUUUCGCUAAUAAAUGUUAGAAUUUCUGCUUCGGGUGGUGCUAAUGUUUAAAGGAGGAACUCGUUUAGUAUAUUUUUUAUUCGCUUAGGUUGUUGGCUUAAUGACUCUAAAUGACCCGUCUUGAAACACGG
rnacentral:rRNA from 1 species